CAUGCAAGUCGAGCGGUAACAGACAUAAAGAUUCAGCUUGCUGAAUCCGGUGCUGACGAGCGGCGAACGGGUGAGUAACGCGUAGGAAUCUACCCAGUAGCGGGGGAUAGCCCGAGGAAACUCGGAUUAAUACCGCAUACGCCCUGAGGGGGAAAGGGGGCAGUUUACUGCUCUCACUAUUGGAUGAGCCUGCGUAAGAUUAGCUUGUUGGUAGGGUAAUGGCCUACCAAGGCGACGAUCUUUAGCUGGUCUGAGAGGACGAUCAGCCACAUUGGGACUGAGACACGGCCCAGACAUCUACGGAUGGCAGCAGUUAAGAAUAUUGGACAAUGGGGGCAACCCUGAUCCAGGUAUACCGCGUGUGUGAAGAAGGCCCUAGGGUUGUAAAGCACUUUAAUCAGAGAAGAAGCAUUUUAAGUUAAUACCUUAUUAUGUUGACGUUACCUGAAGAAUAAGGACCGGCUAACUCCGUGCCAGCAGCCGCGGUAAUACGGAGGGUCCAAGCGUUAAUCGGAAUUACUGGGCGUAAAGCGCGCGUAGGCGGUUUAGCAAGUUGUAUGUGAAAGCCCUGGGCUCAACCUAGGAACUGCAUCCAAAACUACUAAACUAGAGUACGAGAGAGGAGAGUAGAAUUUCUGGUGUAGCGGUGAAAUGCGUAGAUAUCAGAAGGAAUACCAAUGGCGAAGGCAGCUCUCUGGCUCGUCACUGACGCUGAGGUGCGAAAGCGUGGGUAGCAAACAGGAUUAGAUACCCUGGUAGUCCACGCCGUAAACGAUGACAACUAGCCGUUGGGCAGAUUUAACUGUUCAGUGGCACAGCUAACGCAUUAAGUUGUCCGCC
rnacentral:rRNA from 1 species